rnacentral:rRNA from 1 species
AUGAACGCUGGCGGCGUGCCUAAUACAUGCACGUCGAGCGAACAGAUAAGGAGCUUGCUCCUUUGACGUUAGCGGCGGACGGGUGAGUAACACGUGGGUAACCUACCUAUAAGACUGGGAUAACUUCGGGAAACCGGAGCUAAUACCGGAUAACAUUUGGAACCGCAUGGUUCUAAAGUGAAAGAUGGUUUUGCUAUCACUUAUAGAUGGACCCGCGCCGUAUUAGCUAGUUGGUAAGGUAACGGCUUACCAAGGCAACGAUACGUAGCCGACCUGAGAGGGUGAUCGGCCACACUGGAACUGAGACACGGUCCAGACUCCUACGGGAGGCAGCAGUAGGGAAUCUUCCGCAAUGGGCGAAAGCCUGACGGAGCAACGCCGCGUGAGUGAUGAAGGGUUUCGGCUCGUAAAACUCUGUUAUUAGGGAAGAACAAAUGUGUAAGUAACUGUGCACGUCUUGACGGUACCUAAUCAGAAAGCCACGGCUAACUACGUG